rnacentral:rRNA from 1 species
UACGUAGGGUGCAAGCGUUAAUCGGAAUUACUGGGCGUAAAGCGUGCGCAGGCGGUUUUUUAAGUCUGACGUGAAAUCCCCGGGCUCAACCUGGGAACUGCGUUGGAGACUGCAAGGCUGGAGUCUGGCAGAGGGGGGUAGAAUUCCACGUGUAGCAGUGAAAUGCGUAGAGAUGUGGAGGAACACCGAUGGCGAAGGCAGCCCCCUGGGUCAAGACUGACGCUCAUGCACGAAAGCGUGGGGAGCAAACAGG